rnacentral:rRNA from 1 species
CAAUAGCGUAUAUUAAAGUUGUUGCAGUUAAAAGACUCGUAGUUGGAUUUCUGUCUAGGGUGGCCGGUACCCACUAUGUGAAGUAUCUGGUUCAGUCUGGGCAUCCUCUUGGGGAUCGUUCCUGUGCUUGAUUGCAUGGGACGGAAUUUCAAGAACUUUUACUUUGAGGAAAUUUAGAGUGUUCACGGCAAGCUUUCGCUUUGAAUACAUUAGCAUGGAAUAAUAAUAUAGGCGUAAGUUCUAUUUUGUUUGGUUUCUUAGAACAUACGCAAUGAAGUUAAUAGGGAUAAUUGGGGGCACUCGUAUUAACACGUCAGAGGUGGAAUUCUUAGAUUGUGUUACGACGAACUACUGCGAAAGCAUUUGCCAAGGAUGUUUUCAUUGAUCAAGAACGAAAGUA